rnacentral:hammerhead_ribozyme from 1 species
ACCCAGCUGACGAGUCCCGAAUAGGACGAAACGCACGUCUUGGAU